GGCUAGGUGGGAGGCUUUGAAGGUUUCCUUCCGGGGGAAGCUGAGCCGUCGUUGAGAGACCACUCUGGAAGAGCUAGAAUCCUAAUGGUGAUCCUUGAAUCGGGACGCUUGCCAGUUUCAGGUGGGCAGUUUACUGGGGGGGGAUACCUCCUAAAAGGUAACGAAGGUGUGCAAAGGUUCCCUCAGUCGGGAGGGAAAUCACACAUUGAGUGUAAAGGCAAAAGGGACCUUGAUGGCAAGACCUACAAGUCGAGCAGGGGCAAAAGCCGGCCUUAUGGAUCCAACGGUUCCCAGUGGAAGGGCCGCCCCUCAAGGGAAAAAAGUACCUCUAGGGAUACCAGGCGAAA
rnacentral:rRNA from 1 species